rnacentral:rRNA from 1 species
ACGGAAGGCAGCAGUGGGGAAUAUUGCACAAUGGGGGAAACCCUGAUGCAGCGACGCCGCGUGAGUGAAGAAGUAUCUCGGUAUGUAAAGCUCUAUCAGCAGGGAAGAAAAUGACGGUACCUGACUAAGAAGCCCCGGCUAACUACGUGCCAGCAGCCGCGGUAAUACGUAGGGGGCAAGCGUUAUCCGGAUUUACUGGGUGUAAAGGAAGCGUAGACGGUUCUGCAAGUCUGAUGUGAAAGGCAGGGGCUCAACUCCUGGACUGCAUUGGAAACUGUAGAACUAGAGUGCCGGAGAGGUAAGCGGAAUUCCUAGUGUAGCGGUGAAAUGCGUAGAUAUUAGGAGGAACACCAGUGGCGAAGGCGGCUUACUGGACGGUAACUGACGUUGAGGCUCGAAAGCGUGGGGAGCAAACAGGAUUAGAUACCCUGGUA